GGGUGACCCACCCAUGGUUCCUCCUCACUGCCCCUGCACGCAAAGGGCACGACUGGCUGGCCAUAGCCAAGCCCAGGGCACGGCAGGGCAAGAGCAGGGCUAACCUCUGGCAGCCGUAGGCAACUAUGAAGGGUAAAUGCUCCUGGAGGGAGAAGGUGUGAGCAGGACAGGAAGCUGCCCAUGCCAAUAAAGCAUGGUCUGGUCUUGCGGCCCCUCUCUCUUGGGGACCAGGAGCUGCAGUGGAAUUCUGACAGGACUGGGAUAUUCCUGGCAAUGCUGAGAAGGCUUUUGAUAAACUACAUAUAUAUAUGUAUGGCUGCUGUUUAUUUUUGCUGGGCAAGAUGGAGCUGAAGAAUCAGACUCAAACGGCUGAAGUUUGUGACAGUUUCUUGUUGCUGUGGUGGUGAUCAUCACUGUCAGAUGCCAUCCUGUCUUUUGGAAGUCUUGCUCCAGACAUGGAACAUCCUGGGUAUUACAGUCAUUGAGCUUGGUUCAGGAUUCAACGGUAAGCCAGCAGAGAAAGUAGGAGAGAGGCUGAAUUAAUAGUAAGCCAUGGCAGUGAGCAGUGACUAUAAGAAACAGUGACAGCUGGGCUGUCCUAGCAGCCACAGGCUUCAUAGUAAGGUACUAUGCACUGCGGAAGGAGUGGAGAAAAGAGGUGAAAAUAAUAGCAUCUCUUGGUAAAAUUGCAGGUGGUUCUUUGUGGUUGCUCAUAAGGAAAUGUGGUGAAGAAUUAAAAAUAAAAAACUUAAACUACAACCUUACCUGACUUGCACAGGGCUCUUCAUCCGAAGGAAGCUGCAUCACAACCACAACUUUUCAGAUGCUUCCCUUUGCCUGUUGGCAUCAUCGUUCUUUCUUACCUUGGCUGUACAGUUGUGUUUGUCUCCUGUGAAUGCGCUCAUUCUUGGUGUGAUCAGAAGGCAUGAAAAAUUGUUGGAGGUCUUAUUUGCAUAUUGCUGACAAUGGGUUUUAGAAGCCUGACUAAACAACUUGCUUCAAUAUCCUGCUGUUGCAUUCUGCAGCUAACUUAUACGCUGCCCUUUAUCUCUUUGAAAUGUACUGGGUUUUAAUUUUCUAAGCUUACUUGUUUAAAUUUCAGGGAGUUGGGUAGAUCUGACUGGUCUCUAUGGCAAUCAUUAUUUAAUACCCUCCUUUCAUUUGUUGUUGCUUCUUUCUACCCUGCCUACACCCAGACUCAGUGAUGAUUCAUUGUAUAGAAGCCAAAUAUGGCCCUACGUGACGAAUAAAUUUUGCUCACCUGCCCAGAACCUCUCCCGUGUCUGUCUCUUUCAGGAGAAGGUGUCCAUAAUUUAAGUUGUAUUUGAGAGUAGAACACCCCAACAACGUUUAUUAUAGCAUUUAUCACUUAGAACCUGUGAGAGGAGUUAUGUGGAGUAGCCCAGACAGGUAGUUCCAUCCUUUUCUCUCUAGAUCCAUUGUUGAAAUUGGCCAUUCCUCAUCUUGACUAUUACAAGGCUGUUGCCUUCUAGUGUAAACACAAAGACUAAGCGUGGGUGCAACAAUAUUAAGCAUUUGGUAAAACACAGGGCUAACUAGUAGCCUUCCUUCACAUUUUCUGUAUUGAUACAAAUUCCAUCAGUAGCAUAUCAAAGUCUCAUAAACAGUGAUAUAACUCACCGAAACUUCAGACCUCUCUCUUUCUGUAGAAAGUUUGACCCACCGAGUACUGUACUAAUGCUGAGUGCCUUUCUGAAGCAGGGAUAUAUCAUAGAAACAAUGACUCCUCCAAGG
ensembl:lncRNA